rnacentral:rRNA from 1 species
AUUGAACGCUGGCGGCAGGCUUAACACAUGCAAGUCGAGCGGGGGAAGUUGCCUCGGUAAUUGACCUAGCGGCGGACGGGUGAGUAAUACUUAGGAAUCUGCCUAUUAAUGGGGGACAACAUCUCGAAAGGGAUGCUAAUACCGCAUACGCCCUACGGGGGAAAGCAGGGGAUCACUUGUGACCUUGCGUUAAUAGAUGAGCCUAAGUCGGAUUAGCUAGUUGGUGGGGUAAAGGCCUACCAAGGCGACGAUCUGUAGCGGGUCUGAGAGGAUGAUCCGCCACACUGGGACUGAGACACGGCCCAGACUCCUACGGGAGGCAGCAGUGGGGAAUAUUGGACAGUGGGGGAACCCUGAUCCAGCCAUGCCGCGUGUGUGAAGAAGGCCUUAUGGUUGUAAAGCACUUUAAGCGAGGAGGAGGCUCUUUUGGUUAAUACCCAAGAUGAGUGGACGUUACUCGCAGAAUAAGCACCGGCUAACUCUGUGCCAGCCGCCGCCGUAAUAC